CGGGGUCCGUGUGUGAGGAGAGGGGGUGGGGCUUGGGCAAGGAGUUGAGUUCAUCCCUCCUCCCUUUGAUCCAGUCCAGAUGGAUCUGCAAAACCAUGAGAGUAGAGUUUCAGAAUUCAACAUUGACCUUGGAUGGACGGAUGAUUCGUCUCUGCUUUGGAUGGAUGGAUGCUUCGUCUCUGCUUUGAUGAUUUGCUCAACCGCCGAUUUAUCAUUUUUAUCCCCAAACAAGUGGAGGAGUCCACGGGCGUAAUGGUUCCCAGCCGCAAGGGAAAGAACCCUCGUUCCCAGCCACGGCUAGGGUUCCCCCUGCCUCCCGUCGGUGCCGGCGCCGGUCUACCUCGUCUCCUAUGGCCUUACGGUCAAGGAGGCAUGGUGGAUCUCAGCCCUUGCCGGCGGGAGGGCUUCGUUUGUAGAUGCUUUUUUGAGUUUUUAUUAGGGAUUUUUUCCUGUUUGGAGAGAUCAGGCGGCAGCGACUCACUGAAGAUUGAAUAAGAUUA